UAUUAAAAUUUACAUCCAUUUGUACGGUUAAAAACUGACAUGCAUGACAAAAUACUAGACAAUAACAUGUAGUGUCACUUGUACCUCAUGCUGGCAUACAUGGACCAGUUUUUAACAGUAGAAAUUGAUGGAAAAUUUAACA
rfam:Gossypium hirsutum cultivar TM-1 unplaced genomic scaffold scaffold290.1, whole genome shotgun sequence